GCAACUGACAAAUCAUGGGGAAAUACAAAACUUGCAAAAGGCCAAUUGACUUGCAUAAUAUAAACCGUCCAUCAUGAGCGCCCUUCGGACUAAUGCGAUAAUAGUUCGGACAGCACGAAUUUGACCGAACUCGUGAUGGUUAUUACUUCGGAUCAUCGCUGUUCCAGUUUUCAACAAUCCCAAUUCCUAGACUCGUGGCAGGUCUCUUGAUUGCAAAACCAAAAUAAAUAACCACUGUGAAGUUACAUGAUUCAAAGUGAAAACACGCAGUUUACAUCUGGUCGGUUAGUCUAUUACUCUCAAGACCUCCCAGACAUGCCGGCGUCUAUUACAUAACACCCCCAGACAUGCAGCCGAGUAGAAUCCCUUCUCUGUUCUGAGAUAAGCCUUGAUUUCCCCAUGAUUUGUCAAUGAAAGGUCGCUU